rnacentral:rRNA from 1 species
UACAGAGGAUGCAAGCGUUAUCCGGAAUGAUUGGGCGUAAAGCGUCUGUAGGUGGCUUUUUAAGUCCGCCGUCAAAUCCCAGGGCUCAACUCUGGACAGGCGGUGGAAACUACCAAGCUGGAGUACGGUAGGGGCAGAGGGAAUUUCCGGUGGAGCGGUGAAAUGCGUAGAGAUCGGAAAGAACACCAACGGCGCAGGCAGCGUCCUGGCCGCUUGCUGACACUGAGGCACGAAAGCUGGGGGAGCAAACAGG